rnacentral:rRNA from 1 species
GGUGAGUAACACGUGGGUAACCUGCCUGUAAGACUGGGAUAACUCCGGGAAACCGGGGCUAAUACCGGAUGCUUGUUUGAACCGCAUGGUUCAAACAUAAAAGGUGGCUUCGGCUACCACUUACAGAUGGACCCGCGGCGCAUUAGCUAGUUGGUGAGGUAAUGGCUCACCAAGGCGACGAUGCGUAGCCGACCUGAGAGGGUGAUCGGCCACACUGGGACUGAGACACGGCCCAGACUCCUACGGGAGGCAGCAGUAGGGAAUCUUCCGCAAUGGACGAAAGUCUGACGGAGCAACGCCGCGUGAGUGAUGAAGGUUUUCGGAUCGUAAAGCUCUGUUGUUAGGGAAGAACAAGUACCGUUCGAAUAGGGCGGUACCUUGACGGUACCUAACCAGAAAGCCACGGCUAACUACGUGCCAGCAGCCGCGGUAAUACGUAGGUGGCAAGCGUUGUCCGGAAUUAUUGGGCGUAAAGGGCUCGCAGGCGGUUUCUUAAGUCUGAUGUGAAAGCCCCCGGCUCAACCGGGGAGGGUCAUUGGAAACUGGGGAACUUGAGUGCAGAAGAGGAGAGUGGAAUUCCACGUGUAGCGGUGAAAUGCGUAGAGAUGUGGAGGAACACCAGUGGCGAAGGCGACUCUCUGGUCUGUAACUGACGCUGAGGAGCGAAAGCGUGGGGAGCGAACAGGAUUAGAUACCCUGGUAGUCCACGCCGUAAACGAUGAGUGCUAAGUGUUAGGGGGUUUCCGCCCCUUAGUGCUGCAGCUAACGCAUUAAGCACUCCGCCUGGGGAGUACGGUCGCAAGACUGAAACUCAAAGGAAUUGACGGGGGCCCGCACAAGCGGUGGAGCAUGUGGUUUAAUUCGAAGCAACGCGAAGAACCUUACCAGGUCUUGACAUCCUCUGACAAUCCUAGAGAUAGGACGUCCCCUUCGCGGGCAGAGUGACAGGUGGUGCAUGGUUGUCGUCAGCUCGUGUCGUGAGAUGUUGGGUUAAGUCCCGCAACGAACGCAACCCUUGAUCUUAGUUGCCAGCAUUCAGU